UUGACCGAGAUAGAAGACUACUUUGGGCCCAUUGCAAUGAAAAGGCAGAAUUUAACACUCAGCUGUAUGUUAGCGCUGCAUUUCUUAAAAGGACUGGUGAAAUCUACCAUGGACGAUACUGUUAUGGAAGAAUUGAUGCUGUGAUAUCUUCUACCAUCUACAAAUGCUCGCGUUUCUCCUGCUCCUCCCGCUCCCUCUGCUCUCGGGCCUGCCUCCUCUUCUCGGCCAGGAUCCGGGCGGCCUCCUCUGGGUUGUUGGUGCCCGCCAUGGGCUUGGCUGACGAGGAGGCUGGGGCUGGGGACGAUGCAGGGACACUGGGGGUUGAUUGGGCGGAAGGAGGGACCUCAGAAGGAGUGGCGGUGGCCGCCCUGAUUGGUGUACUCAGCGAAGGGGGCGUGGCCGGAGCGGAGGAUACCACGAUUGAAGGAACGGGGGAGCCUGGAGAGAGAAUCGAGCAGGAAAAGCGGAGAGGAAUGGGAAAAUACAAUAAGAGUUUUCUAAAGACAAAUCACUGUUCACACUAUCGUCUUCUUUAAGCUGAAACACUGAUAAAACUGUGUAAUUACAUUAAGACAAGUACACUAGACCUCUGGUCUAGAUUCCUCUUGGUUGACGUGAGACACGCUGUGAUGUUCUCAAUUCAAACAGUGGCAAAGUAUGGAAACAUACAUUUUUGGAUUCUGUAAACUUGUAAUUAUAGCAUUUUUCAGUAAUUAGCACCCCCCCUGCUGUUCCUCGCUGUGUGUGAAGGAGAGAAAGACAGAGAAGCUGGCAUUGUCGGCGUGCCUAAUUAACCACGACGGUAAUCAUCCUGUGGCUGGGCCGGCGCUACAGUGCACUGACAUGCACGCACGUACGCACACACAUUCACUUUUUCCAGCUUGGAACUGAGCCAAACCACAAAGAACUGAGGAAGCAAAGUAUGAAUCAGCCGUGGCAGGGCCUAUAGAAAACAGACACACUAAAAUCCAACUUGUGUCAGGGGGAAAUGAAAAGGUACCGAAUUAUAUGGGUAUAUAGUGUUCUCACGGCUUGUGUGCCAAGUGCAUAUAAAAUAUACCAGAUUCUAAAUUAUCUAGGGUGAGUGAGUCCAUAUUUUUCAAACCAUUUUUCAAACCAUCACAAACCACACCAUAACUAGACUGAAGACAGGACUUCCAUUCACAGAGCUUAAUGUCAAUGUAAAUAUAACUGGCUUAAAAUGUGAUAAAACACAGGAACUACACUGGGCCAUUGCAGGAGCAGUGGGUUGUUUCCCUGCUACACUGGAAGCUUAACUUAAGACCAACGAGAGCAGAGGGCGAACCACAUUAUCAAGUGAGCUACUUAGAAAUCUUGAAAAUAGAACCAGAGAGCCAUUUGACACUGAGCAGCGCAAGUCUGUCGCCAACCGCACUGCCUACGCCCGUGUUUCAUUGAAAUGAAAAGGAGUGUCUCGCGCUCGCCAAGAGUUACGCGUCUAGUGUUACAACUGAACUCAUUCCAACAACAUAAACAAUACACCCCCCCACUUAAAGGGAAUGUGGUUACGCUGAUUAAGCCCUUUAAAAUGAUCCUGCACAGUUGUGAUCCCUGUAAGAGGAGUACACUUUACUUACACAUAUAACCCUCCACCUGGGGGUAUUAACUACCUACUGCAUACUCACUCUUGCCUUUGGGCUCCUCGGGCGUGGCUGACCUACGGCCGCGGGUCUCCCUGGCCCUCUCCAGGGGAACGGGGGAGGAGGUGCGCCCGUGGUCCACCCGGGCCGGGGUCCUAGCCCUCUUGGGCCGGGCCUUGGGGGUGGAGGGGCUAGCCCGGGCUGAAGA